UCGAGGCCUCAGGGAUGAUAAAGGACAGCCCACACAAGAUUACUAUCAUCUGCUGGCCAUUCGACUGAGUUUCGUCAUUAUAUUUGAGCAUGUUGUCCUCCUGAUUGGUCGUAUUAUUGACUGGAUGGUGCCAGAUAUUCCAGAGGAGGUGGAAAUUAAGAUCAAACGAGAGCAUUACAUGGCCAAAGAGGCACUGGCUGAAAAUCAGUCAUUGAGUAGAACUGUUCUUGAAGAAAUGGAGAGGCAAGUCUCUGAGCUGCGAUACAGAGGAAGAACACAGAGUCCUAACGACAUCUCGUCUCCCUCCAGUCCGUCUCCUGAACAUGAAGACAAACCUACACUCUGAUAUUUGACUCUUUUUAUAAACCAUUCUACAAUGU